rnacentral:rRNA from 1 species
UACAGAGACUGCGAGCGUUAUUCGGAUUCACUGGGCGUAAAGGGUGCGCAGGCGGCCGAGUGUGUGAGGCGUGAAAGCCCGGGGCUUAACCCCGGAAUUGCACCUCAAACUACACGGCUAGAGCAUUGGAGAGGGUAGCAGAAUUCACGGUGUAGCAGUGAAAUGCGUAGAUAUCGUGAGGAAUACCAGAGGCGAAGGCGGCUACCUGGACAAUUGCUGACGCUCAGGCACGAAAGCAUGGGGAGCGAACAGG